AUGAACGCUAGCGACAGGCUUAACACAUGCAAGUCGAGGGGUAACAGGGUAGCAAUACCGCUGACGACCGGCGCACGGGUGAGUAACGCGUAUGCAACCUGCCUAUAACUGGGGAAUAGCUCCCUGAAAGGGGGAAUUAACACCGCAUAACACUAUUGAUUCGCAUGGAUUAGUAGUUAAAUGUAGCGAUACAGGUUAUAGAUGGGCAUGCGUGACAUUAGCUAGUUGGUGAGGUAACGGCUCACCAAGGCUACGAUGUCUAGGGGUUCUGAGAGGAAGGUCCCCCCACACUGGUACUGAGACACGGACCAGACUCCUACGGGAGGCAGCAGUGAGGAAUAUUGGUCAAUGGGCGCAAGCCUGAACCAGCCAUGUCGCGUGCAGGAAGAACCUGCCCUAUGGGUUGUAAACUGCUUUUAUAGUAGAAGAAACACAUCUACGUGUAGAUGUCUGCCAGUAUACUAUGAAUAAGCAUCGGCUAACUCCGUGCCAGCCGCCGC
rnacentral:rRNA from 1 species